rnacentral:rRNA from 1 species
GCAUUCAGCCAUACUACCGUGACUGUGCCUGAUCUCAUCUGAUCCUGGAAGCUAAGGAGGGUUGGGCUUUUGUAUUUGGUUCGGAGAAAGUGUGAUACU